AGAUCGGCAGACACAUAAAAGACAAAAAAUAGAACAAAACAAAACAGAAAAUGUAGUUCUCUCUAUCCACCCUGUUUCCUUCAGGUAUUUAAUCGGGUGACUGUAUGUAUGGACAGCCUGUUUCUGGAUGUUAAAGAUGAUAAAGAUGUCUUCCUGUAUCGUUUAUGUCCCAGUGUUGUUGCCAUACUUUUUGCAUUUGUCUCUUUAUAAUUGUUUUACCCUCAGCUUUACAAAGUGGAAUUUUCAUGUUUACUGUUUGUGAUCGGAGUGUUUGCUGGGCCAGUGUAUCACCAUCUACUCCCACAUGAGCAGCGACCCAAACGAAGCGAGCCGUCAGACCCUUGUUGUGCAGUCUGGAUAUUAAACGCUGGAUUUCAAACAGAAGGUCUUGUCUGCUUGAUUUCACAGAUGUAAUACUUCUCCUUCACACUGUGGUAUGAACACUGCAGCUCCUGCACGUCCAGUCUCAGGGCCUUUUGAACCUUCUGGAAAUAACACCAACUUAUCUGCAAAGUGCUGCUCAGACUUUCCUACAGUCUUCAUGCCACCGCGGUACACUCUUACCUCUGCUCCCUGCACCCUUCGCUAUUGUUUCCUCUGCCGACUGUAUGAUGACUGCAACCAACCUUUUAUUGAAUUCAUCCCCAUCUGAUAUAUGUUCUCUAAGUAAAAGUUCACACCUUCCCAUACUCAGUGCUUGAAAUGUGUCCCAGUUUGCUUUGUCUGAUUUCCAUCUUGGUAUCUCCAGUUCCUCUUCUUGGUGUACUAACCUUAAUUCUGACAGGAUAAUGAUCCCUGCCCACCGGUGACGUACUAAACACCUCCCAGGUUGAGAUAGCCGCUAUUCCAUUAGACUGUAGUGUUAGAGCGAUUGCACUUUCCUUGUUUAGAGCACUGUUAUACCUAGUACCUCUCCCACCAUUCACACAUACUAAUCCCUUCUCCUCUAUGAAUUCCUCUGUGAUUAAACCAUUUGCCUCCGUUUUCUUACUCCCCCACAGUGUGUUAUGUGUGUUGAAGUCUCCACACCACACCACCAUGCCCUGCACCUGCCCACCCACAAUGUCCGAUAUAUCAAGGCACAGCCUAUUACAUGGGUUAUAGUAAUGAAUUAUUGCUAAUUCAUCCUUUCCUGCCCAGAUCUUGACCAUUAUUGAUUUGUGUUCUUUCCCUAAAUGAAUCAGAUUAAACCUCGUCCCCUCCUACGCAAAUGUUGCCAUACCACCACCUUUCCCAAUCUUCCCAUCAUUCCUAAUUGCUGUAUAUAACCCCAUAUUAUGAAAUCCCACUGUGGUCUCAGCCAUGUUUCUUGUAUGCACAUUAUAUCAGGUUUAUCUUGUAGAUUUGAAACUUUUUUUUUAAAUUCCUGACCAUUUGCAAUAAGGCUUCUUGCAUUCCAUUGUAAUUAAUGCCAUGAUGAUCCACCACCCCAUGAUUGUGAUUGUGAGCUAGACGUCCCUCCAUUUAACAUUUUCUUAACUUCUUCCCAUCCAAGAUCUUUGAUUCCCAGGUAUUUGGGUAGGAGCUGACGUGCUGCGGUCACCGGUGUUUGUGUUUUACUAGUAGCGUAUUUCUGCAGCUCUAGCUCAUCAGUUAAUUUUGUUCGAUUCUUCAUUAUAGUGAUUAACUAUCUGCUAUAAAUUUAAACGUACACUAGUUCUGCUCAAGAUCGCUCCUUCUUUUAGCGACUUUCUCUCUAAUCCUACAGUUGUUUACACACUAUUCAGUUCUGCAGGUUACCAUACUUUAGCUUAGCAGCUAGCGAUGGCUUCUCCCUCUCCUGUCUUACUCGGUGUGUCAGAUGUUUAGCUAUUCCUCUGCCUCCUUUAGUGAUAAUGGUACAUGAAAUAAAUAGUUUAUUUGUCGCAUUGGAGGCGAGGCUUAGUGAAUUGGAAACGUGGCUCUGCACCAUGGGAA